GAGAAAGAAGCAUAAGUGGUUUAGUAUGCAGCUGGCUUGAAACCAGUGUAUGAGGGUUCGACUCCUUCCUUUCUUG
rnacentral:tRNA from 1 species